rnacentral:tRNA from 1 species
GCGCUCGUAGCUCAGCAGGAUAGAGCGAUAGCCUCCUAAGCUGUAGGUCUCCGGUUCGAAUCCGGACGAGCGCGCCA